rnacentral:rRNA from 1 species
GGGUUUAAGGGUGCGUAGGCGGCCUUUUAAGUCAGUGGUGAAAUCCUGCCGCUUAACGGUAGAAUUGCCAUUGAUACUGAAAGGCUUGAGUUCAGUUGAGGUAAGCGGAAUGUGUAGUGUAGCGGUGAAAUGCUUAGAUAUUACACAGAACACCAAUUGCGAAGGCAGCUUACUAAACUGACACUGACGCUGAUGCACGAAAGCGUGGGGAGCGAACAGGAUUAGAUACCCUGGUAGUCCACGCCGUAAACGAUGUUCACUCGCUGUUUGCGAUACACAGCAAGCGGCCAAGCGAAAGCAUUAAGUGAACCACCUGGGGAGUACGAUCGCAAGGUUGAAACUCAAAGGAAUUGACGGGGGCCCGCACAAGCGGAGGAACAUGUGGUUUAAUUCGAUGAUACGCGAGGAACCUUACCUGGGCUUAAAUGUAGAACGACAGAUUGUGAAAGCAGUCCUUCUUCGGACGUUUUACAAGGUGCUGCAUGGUUGUCGUCAGCUCGUGCCGUGAGGUGUCGGGUUAAGUCCCAUAACGAGCGCAACCCUUAUCGUUAGUUGCCAGCGGGUCAAGCCGGGGACUCUAGCGAGACUGCCACCGUAAGGUGUGAGGAAGGUGGGGAUGACGUCAAAUCAGCACGGCCCUUAUGUCCAGGGCUACACACGUGUUACAAUGGCCGAUACAAAGGGCAGCUACUUCGUGAGAAGAUGCUAAUCUCUAAAGUCGGUCUCAGUUCGGAUCGAAGUCUGCAACCCGACUUCGUGAAGCUGGAUUCGCUAGUAAUCGCAUAUCAGCCAUGAUGCGGUGAAUACGUUCCCGGGCCUUGUACACACCGCCCGUCAAACAAUGGAAGCUGGGGGUACCUGAAGUCUGUAACCGCAAGGAGCG